GUAUAAGAGACAGCAGCCGCCGCGGUAAUACAGAGGGUGCAAGCGUUAAUCGGAAUUACUGGGCGUAAAGCGCGCGUAGGUGGUUUGUUAAGUUGGAUGUGAAAUCCCCGGGCUCAACCUGGGAACUGCAUCCAAAACUGGCAAGCUAGAGUAUGGUAGAGGGUGGUGGAAUUUCCUGUGUAGCGGUGAAAUGCGUAGAUAUAGGAAGGAACACCAGUGGCGAAGGCGACCACCUGGACUGAUACUGACACUGAGGUGCGAAAGCGUGGGGAGCAAACAGGAUUAGAUACCCCCGUAGUCCCUGUCUCUUAUAC
rnacentral:rRNA from 1 species